AUUGAACGCUGGCGGCAUGCCUUACACAUGCAAGUCGAACGGCAGCGGGGGAGAAGCUUGCUUUUCCUGCCGGCGAGUGGCGAACGGGUGAGUAAUACAUCGGAACGUGCCCUGUAGUGGGGGAUAACUAGUCGAAAGAUUAGCUAAUACCGCAUACAACCUGAGGGUGAAAGUGGGGGACCGCAAGGCCUCAUGCUAUAGGAGCGGCCGAUGUCUGAUUAGCUAGUUGGCGGGGUAAAGGCCACCAAGGCGACGAUCCGUAGCUGGUCUGAGAGGAUGAUCAGCCACACUGGAACUGAGACACGGUCCAGACUCCUACGGGAGGCAGCAGUGGGGAAUAUUGGACAAUGGGCGCAAGCCUGAUCCAGCCAUACCGCGUGGGUGAAGAAGGCCUUCGGGUUGUAAAGCCCUUUUGUUGGGAAAGAAAUCCAGCCGGUUAAUACCUGGUUGGGAUGACGGUACCCAAAGAAUAAGCACCGGCUAACUUCGUGCCAGCCGCCGCGGUAA
rnacentral:rRNA from 1 species